rnacentral:rRNA from 1 species
CCUACGGGAGGCAGCAGUGAGGAAUAUUGGUCAAUGGACGAGAGUCUGAACCAGCCAAGUAGCGUGAAGGAUGACUGCCCUAUGGGUUGUAAACCUCUUUUAUAUGGGAAUAAAAUGUUCCACGUGUGGGAUUUUGUAUGUACCAUAUGAAAAAGGAUCGGCUAACUCCGUGCCAGCAGCCGCGGUAAUACGGAGGAUCCGAGCGUUAUCCGGAUUUAUUGGGUUUAAAGGGAGCGUAGGUGGAUUGUUAAGUCAGUUGUUAAAGUUUGCGGCUCAACCCUAAAAUUGCAGUUGAAACUGGCAGUCUUGAGUACAGUAGAGGUGGGCGGAAUUCGUGGUGUAGCGGUGAAAUGCUUAGAUAUCACGAAGAACUCCGAUUGCGAAGGCAGCUCACUGGCCUCCAACUGACACUGAGGCACGAAAGUGUGGGUAUCAAACAGGAUUAGAUACCCCUGUAGUC